rnacentral:rRNA from 1 species
UCCAACCCCUGUGAACAUACCUUA